rnacentral:rRNA from 1 species
GAAUCUUCGGCAAUGGGCGAAAGCCUGACCGAGCAACGCCGCGUGAGUGAAGAAGGUCUUCGGCUCGUAAAACUCUGUUGCCAAGGAAGAAAACUUGGGAGAGGAAAUGCUGCUGAGGUGACGGUACUUGAGAAGAAAGCCCCGGCUAACUACGUGCCAGCAGCCGCGGUAAUACGUAGGGGGCAAGCGUUGUCCGGAAUUAUUGGGCGUAAAGCGCGCGCAGGCGGUUUUUUAAGUCUGGGGUUUAAACGCAGGGCUCAACCUUGCGUCGCCUUGGAAACUGGGAGACUGGAGUGCAGGAGAGGGAAGCGGAAUUCCACGUGUAGCGGUGAAAUGCGUAGAGAUGUGGAGGAACACCAGUGGCGAAGGCGGCUUCCUGGCCUGUAACUGACGCUGAGGCGCGAAAGCGUGGGGAGCAAACAG